GACGAACGCUGGCGGCGUGCUUAACACAUGCAAGUCGAGCGAGUUGAUUCCCUUCGGGGAUGAAGCUAGCGGCGGACGGGUGAGUAACACGUGGGCAACCUGCCUUAUAGAGGGGGAUAGCCUUCCGAAAGGAAGAUUAAUACCGCAUAACAUCAGACUAUCGCAUGGUAGACUGAUCAAAGGAGCAAUCCGCUAUAAGAUGGGGCCCGCGUCGCAUUAGCUAGUUGGUGAGGUAACGGCUCACCAAGGCGACGAUGCGUAGCCGACCUGAGAGGGUGAUCGGCCACAUUGGGACUGAGACACGGCCCAGACUCCUACGGGUGGCAG
rnacentral:rRNA from 1 species